ensembl:piRNA 21ur-13477 ncRNA
UAUUCCAUUUAAAGUUUAUGU